GUAGGGGGCGAGCGUUGUCCGAAGUUACUGGGCGUAAAGCGCGCGUAGGCGGGUUGGCAAGUCCGCUGUGAAAGCCCGGAGCUUAACUCCGGAGGGUCGGUGGAUACUGCCAGUCUUGAAGGGACUAGGGGGAGAUGGAAUUACCGGUGUAGCGGUGAAAUGCGUAGAGAUCGGUAGGAACACCAGUGGCGAAGGCGGUCUCCUGGGGUUAUCUUGACGCUGAUGCGCGAAAGCUGGGGGAGCGAACGGGAUUAGAUACCCCGGUAGUCCCAGCCCUAAACGAUGGAUACUAGGUGUCGGGGGUAUCGACCCCUCCGGUGCCGCAGCUAACGCAGUAAGUAUCCCGCCUGGGGAGUACGGCCGCAANGUNG
rnacentral:rRNA from 1 species